rnacentral:rRNA from 1 species
CACGUAUGGGGCGAGCGUUGUUCGGAAUUAUUGGGCGUAAAGGGCGUGUAGGCGGUUUCAUAAGCCUGGUGUUAAAGGCGCUGGCUCAACCAGUGUUGUGCGCUGGGAACUGUGGGACUUGAGUUCAGGAGAGGAAGCUGGAAUUCCUGGUGUAGGGGUGAAAUCUGUAGAUAUCAGGAAGAACACCGGUGGCGAAGGCGAGCUUCUAGCCAUGGACUGACGCUGAGGCGCGAAAGCGUGGGGAGCGAACAGGAUUAGAUACCCCCGUA